rnacentral:misc_RNA from 1 species
AGUCGUAACAAGGUCUCCGUAGGUGAACCUGCGGAGGGAUCAUUACAAGUGACCCCGGCUACGGCCGGGAUGUUCAUAACCCUUUGUUGUCCGACUCUGUUGCCUCCGGGGCGACCCUGCCUUCGGGCGGGGGCUCCGGGUGGACACUUCAAACUCUUGCGUAACUUUGCAGUCUGAGUAAACUUAAUUAAUAAAUUAAAACUUUUAACAACGGAUCUCUUGGUUCUGGCAUCGAUGAAGAACGCAGCGAAAUGCGAUAAGUAAUGUGAAUUGCAGAAUUCAGUGAAUCAUCGAAUCUUUGAACGCACAUUGCGCCCCCUGGUAUUCCGGGGGGCAUGCCUGUUCGAGCGUCAUUUCACCACUCAAGCCUCGCUUGGUAUUGGGCAACGCGGUCCGCCGCGUGCCUCAAAUCGUCCGGCUGGGUCUUCUGUCCCCUAAGCGUUGUGGAAACUAUUCGCUAAAGGGUGUUCGGGAGGCUACGCCGUAAAACAACCCCAUUUCUAAGGUUGACCUCGGAUCAGGUAGGGAUACCCGCUGAACUUAAGCAUAUCAAUA